rnacentral:rRNA from 1 species
CACGUAGGGGCCAAGCGUUGUCCGGAUUUAUUGGGCGUAAAGAGCUCGUAGGCGGUUGGGUAAGUCGGGUGUGAAAACUCCGGGCUCAACUCGGAGACGCCACCCGAUACUGCUCUGACUUGAGUCCGGUAGGGGAGUGGGGAAUUCCUGGUGUAGCGGUGAAAUGCGCAGAUAUCAGGAGGAACACCGGUGGCGAAGGCGGGUCUCUGGGCAGUAACUGACGCUGAGGAGCGAAAGCGUGGGGAGCGAACAGG